rnacentral:rRNA from 1 species
GAGGAAAAGAAACCAACAGGGAUUGCCCCAGUAACGGCGAGUGAAGCGGCAACAGCUCAAAUUUGAAAUCUGGCACCCGCCCGAGUUGUAAUUUGCAGAGGAUGCUUCUAGGCAGCGGCCGGUCUAAGUUCUUUGGAACAAGACGUCACAGAGGGUGAGAAUCCCGUACGGGACCGGCUGGCACCUUCCACGUAGCUCCUUCGACGAGUCGAGUUGUUUGGGAAUGCAGCUCUAAAUGGGAGGUAAAUUUCUUCUAAAGCUAAAUACCGGCCAGAGACCGAUAGCGCACAAGUAGAGUGAUCGAAAGAUGAAAAGCACUUUGGAAAGAGAGUUAAACAGCACGUGAAAUUGUUGAAAGGGAAGCGCUUGCAACCAGACUUGUCGGCGGCGUCCCCCUGGUCUUCUGCCCAGGGAGCAGCCGCCGGUAGGCCAGCAUCGUCCGGGGCCGCCGGACAAAGGCGUCGGGAAUGUGGCUCCCCUCGGGGAGCGUUAUAGCCCGGCGCGCAAUACGGUGCGUCCCGGGCGAGGUCCGCGCUUCGGCAAGGAUGUUGGCGUAAU